CUGGAACCACUCGUUCCCUCUCUUGAGCUGUUAUUUCUCUUCUCAUCGCGUCCCUCCGAAAUCCAAGCAUAACAGACUAGAGUUUGUUAGGAUUUGGAGGAUCAAAUCUUAACGAAGUCAUCUAGGAUACGAUUCCAUCAGGGUAUAAAUUAAAAUACAAGGCCCCCCAAUGAUUCAUUAGUCUUGGAUAUCCGCUUGAAAACCAGGAGCCAGAUAUCUACCUUGGCAACGGUGCCAACGCCUCCUGCUGUCAUCCAUGCUCGGCUGUGCGCAUGGUCUGGUGGCGGCCGUGUGUCAUCCUAUUCUUUUGCCGCUCGUCGUUGCACUACCUCGCCAUGUCUGCAACGCUAUGGAAUCGCCGCGCAAGCCGCUCAAGGUAUGGGAACCGAUACUUGUGGUACCACCUCGUGUCGUGUUGUCCACAUUAAGCAAUGGCGCCAUAGUAGAUGAAAUAAAUCUUCUCUCUGCUAUUAGUCAUAGAUCGGCCAGUAGCUUCUCGCAACUCUUGAAUCUAGUUUUCUGACUCACCAUCUCGCUCCUCGUCCGGCUAUCCCUGUCCACGACACGUCAAUAAGUUCGUCACUCCGAGCACCGGCGAACUCGCCGCCACGGGCGUGGGCUGGGCGAUAACAGGCCACCGUCUGAGGUAGAAGACGAGUUUGAAUCGUAGGAUCAUCGAUAUAUGAUCUUACGGCCGAUUCGUAGAACAGAUCUGGGCCGUUGCUUUGUGAUCUCGUGGCCCAGAGGUGGCAUAUCCAUUCUCCAGGGCUAUCUUUCAAUAGAGACCCCGUAGAACCCUAUAAUUAACCCGUCGUCCACUCUAGGGUUUGGCUGAGUCUGUGGAUUACUUAUGUUUUUGCCCCUGUGUUUCUGUUUAUUUGGCGCGCAGUCCAGACACCCAUUAAAACCAGAAAAUUCAUUUAGAAAAUAGUUUUUCAGUAUAAAUUAAUUGCAGAAACAUAUUAAAUUCCUAGAAAAUCCAUAUUAGGUCCAAAUUUACCCAUUUCGGUUCCUAUAAUUUUAUAAUAUUAUUGUUUAUCAAUUAGUGCCACUGAUUUGACAUGAAAGCCACUUUAAAAUUUAUUUCCUAAUUAAUUUUAUAUGAAAUACAUAAAACCUUAGGAAAUUCAUAACUCCUCCGUUUUAACUCCGAUUUGAUCCGUUCAAGUUGCGUUAGUCUCGUAUGAAUAUUUACUAUGCAAUAACAACAUUUACUAUACCAUGUCUUAUUCUUCUAUAAUUAAAUCUUUAUUUAACUUAUGUUGGUUAGUCUUGUUAAUCUACUUACCACUAUAGACUACUAGAAUAUGAUAUAUGAUGAUCAAUUUAUAAUUUAGAUUAAAGUUGAAUUAAUUACUACUUUAGGUUGUCUUUUAUCUGGAAUUAUAAAAUAAACAUAGAACCUAGUGUUACUCAUUUAAUCACCUCAUAACUUGAUGACCAUGACUCCGGUCUUAGUAGUUCUCGAUCCCACGAUCUCGUAGCAAGGCGUAGAUCAUUAUUAUUCAGUUCUUACAUUUGGUGUGAUGUUAAUUUUGCCUAUACACUGUUUGUAUGUAUUGCUACGUUUAGCAGUGAGGAUACGUGUUAUCAGAAGAGCAAGUUGGUACCUGGAAUCUCAAGUCCCAGGCAAGUUGUGCCCUUGAUCACUUCUUUUUACCCAGCCAUGUUCUGAUUAAUCAUAAUGAUCUGCAUAGGUUAAUUUUGAUGGGACCCAAUAGGUUACCCUAGUUUGAUUAUCUUUAUACCUUGUUACCACUGAACUUUUUGGGUAGUACUUGCUAGUGCUUUAUGUGGUUUUGGGUAUGAAGAUACAUUACUCAUGAUUAUACUUUUGUUAUCCGUUGUUAUUUAUCGUUCAUGAUAAGAUCAUUAUGUUAAUUGGAACAUGGAGCGACCACCCGGGAAAACAGUGCUACCACAAGGGUUUAAUGGGACGCCCUUGGCUGAUUAAUUAGGAAAGCUAGUGGAGGACUACCUUACCCGAAAGGGGCAAGGGCAGUAGGGGAGUGGUCAGUGUAGGGAGGCCCUCGGGAGGAUUUUGCUGCGAUGGCGGUCCUGCAAGGGAUUCCUGCAUUGGAGCUUCCUAUAAACUGUAGCGGGUUUUUCUGAAGCUAGUGGAACUUUGUAAAGGCCUCGUAGUGUUACCCUGCCUCGCCUCCUCGGUAGAGGUGUAUGGGAAGUCGCGAUCCCUUGGCAGAUGGGUAACAUGACUUGUGGGUAAAGAUGUGCAACGUCUGCAGAGUGUAAAACUGGUAUACUAGCCGUGCUCACGGUCAUGAGCAGCUCGGACCCUCACAUGAUUAAUUUAUGGAACUUAAAUUCAAUUUGUCAUAUGCAUUGCAUCGCAGGUGAUGUUGUUACUUUUGUUCUACUUCUUAAUUGGGUUGGUAUUUACUUAUACUUAGUAAUUGCUAAUAAAAUUUUGACCAACUUUAAAAGCAAUGCUCAGCUUCAACCAUUCUCUUUGGUAAGCCUUACACUUCACGUGAGCUCCCACUUUUGGCGAGUUCAUGCACAUUAUUCCCCACAACUUGUUGAGCGAUGAACGUAUGUGAGCUCACUCUUGCUGUCUCACACCCCCCCACAGGUCAAGAACAGGUACCGCAGGAUGAGGCGUGGAGGAUGUUGCGAUGUGUUCGUGAGAGGUCUAGGUCGUCGUCUCCCAGUCAACUUUGGGUUGCUGGACCGUUGUCUCCAUAUAAUGUAAUUAUUUAUUUAUUUUGUACAAAACUCCGAUUAUAUAGUAAAGAUGUGACAUUCGAUCCUGUGCCAUGAUUCAUCAUAUGUGUGAGACUUGGUCCCAGCACACCUGGUGAUUAUGUUCGCGCCCGGGUCUUGGUGCCCCGAAAUCCGGGUGUGACAGAAGUGGUAUCAGAGGAAUGUUGACUGUAGGACGAAACCUAGAUAGAACUGGACAACCUUUAUUUACUUACCUUUGCUACUCUAAUUCUUUUCUAAACUUUUCUUAAUCUUUCCUCAUCUAUUUCCGCUUUACUCUGAUUAUUCUUACCUUUUCAUUCUAAAGACAAGGGUGGAUUUCAAACUUUGAAAUCCUGUACCUAAAGUGACCUUUAGGAAUAGGAGACCUAUUCUUAGGAACAAAAAAAACAAAAUUAUUUUUGUAUGUAUCUAUGUGCUUCAAUGUUUGUUCUUAUGAUACUUGUUUGAUUUGGAUCUUUGAUUGAGUGUGAUGAGUUGUGGAGUAAUGUCCACAAUUACAUCUGCAUAUACACAUAGAAAAAAAUGCUUAUAAAAAAAUAACUAGAUAAACUAAAUUAUCCCUCAUUAAAGUAUCUAGCCUAACAAUAUCCAUCUCAUCUUGAAAGAUUCUAUCCAACAUCCAUCUUAUCUUAAAAAGAUACUCAUCUUAUCUUGAAAAGAUCUUAUGUCACCCUAGUAGAUCUAACUGACCUCAAAAGAUUCUACCUUAUCCAUAUGGAUUCAUUUUGCCCUAAUUAGUAUACUUAUCUCACUCUAGAAUAACAACCAUGAGCUAAUUCCAAAUUUUAUUUAGAUCUUAUCCGGUCUCGACUAGUCAUACCCAAUCUAAUCUAUAUCUUAUUCAAUCUAACGAGAGCUAACCCAACCAAUAGAGUCAUGAUAGAUUGCAUAAUUUGUCUAUCCCCACCUAACCUCAAACAAACUUUUAACCUACAUCAUGUAGUCUAUCUCACCCACAUCUAUCUUAACCAUAUUCCCUGACCCGAUGAUAUACACUAACCUCGAAUCAAUGAGACCAAGACCAGAAAAAGAGCAAGAUCAACCUCAUCAAGAAAGGAGAGAAGUCAAACUUGAUCAUCAGAUGCAUUACCAUCCAACACAGAGUUCUUCUCACCAUAAACUGUCUUACCCCAGGCUAUUUUUGCCCUAACCUAUCUUUUAUCCUACACAAUAAGGUGACUAUAUGUAUAUAUACCCAUGCUUUCGUGACCACUUUCUAAAUAACAUGAAACUUCUUAGAAGUUAAAGGCCAAACUGUAAAUAAAGCUUUUUACAUCCCUGUCCUUGCAAAUCUCGAGGACGAGAUUUCUGUUAAGGGGGGUAGAAUUUGUAACACCUUAGAAUCAUAGUUUAGGUAAAUUAGGAAAGUUUAUCUCAAAAAUUUAAAUAAGUAUGUUUUUGAAACACGAAGUUAAAUAAAAUAUCCAUAUAAGAAUGAAAGUACCCUUAGUUGAAUUAUAUAUAUACUCUAAAAGAAUUAGUUAAUGAUAUAUUGAGAAAGAUUAUACGUUAGAAAAUAUUUUCUAAUGAAACUAGUGAAUAUGAACUUUUGAAUACACCUUGAGUUUUACUACACAUUAAAAAGUAUAUUUUCUUAAAAAAAAGAGAAUGUGUGCGUACUAGCAUUUGCAUGAAUGAACCAUAUAAUGUAUUUAAAUGGGUAAAAAAAUAUAUUUAGCAUUCAUGUUGUGAUCUUUGAUUGUGCAUAUGAAUUUAAUUUAUAAAUCCUAUUUGAAACGGACUAGAGAUUUAAAAUAGAAAACAAAAUAAAACUACCGUUUAGGCCAAUUUCAUCUACCUAGCCGAGAUGUACUAGCCAUACAUGUUUUUUUUAGUCUAUUCUUUAUUCCUUUGGCCGGAGCUUAUCUCAGCAUGACCUCAACACUGAUGUCAGCAUGCAAACAAACCAGGAUGUCCACGUGAUUGUGCUCUUAGGCGCUGGAAUGUGGGCCCUUUUUGUCAGCUUCGUCCUCAGCCGUGAGUCCAUUUUGCCGGUAAAAUAGAACGACCUCCAUGCAUCCUGCAUGGAUCCUCGUCCCGACCUCGCGCCCAUGUCCUUCGUUCCUAGGUCUCUCGAUCAGAUGCAUGCACGACUUGUUGCUGGCCGGUUGGGACCUUCUGGAACCACUCGUUCCCUCUCUUGAGCUGUUAUUUCUCUUCUCAUCGCGUCCCUCCGAAAUCCAAGCAUAACAGACUAGAGUUUGUUAGGAUUUGGAGGAUCAAAUCUUAACGAAGUCAUCUAGGAUACGAUUCCAUCAGGGUAUAAAUUAAAAUACAAGGCCCCCCAAUGAUUCAUUAGUCUUGGAUAUCCGCUUGAAAACCAGGAGCCAGAUAUCUACCUUGGCAACGGUGCCAACGCCUCCUGCUGUCAUCCAUGCUCGGCUGUGCGCAUGGUCUGGUGGCGGCCGUGUGUCAUCCUAUUCUUU
rnacentral:lncRNA from 1 species